AUGAACGCUGGCGGCGUGCCUAAUACAUGCAGGUCGAGCGAACAGACGAGGAGCUUGCUCCUCUGACGUUAGCGGCGGACGGGUGAGUAACACGUGGAUAACCUACCUAUAAGACUGGGAUAACUUCGGGAAACCGGAGCUAAUACCGGAUAAUAUAUUGAACCGCAUGGUUCAAUAGUGAAAGACGGUUUUGCUGUCACUUAUAGAUGGAUCCGCGCCGCAUUAGCUAGUUGGUAAGGUAACGGCUUACCAAGGCGACGAUGCGUAGCCGACCUGAGAGGGUGAUCGGCCACACUGGAACUGAGACAAGGUCCAGACUCCUACGGGAGGCAGCAGUAGGGAAUCUUCCGCAAUGGGCGAAAGCCUGACGGAGCAACGCCGCGUGAGUGAUGAAGGUCUUCGGAUCGUAAAACUCUGUUAUUAGGGAAGAACAAAUGUGUAAGUAACUAUGCACGUCUUGACGGUACCUAAUCAGAAAGCCACGGCUAACUACGUG
rnacentral:rRNA from 1 species